rnacentral:rRNA from 1 species
GUGGACGCCAGUCUGCGUGGAGCCGACCUUGAAAUACCACCCUUUAAUGUUUGAUGUUCUAACGUGGACCCGUGAUCCGGGUUGCGGACAGUGUCUGGUGGGUAGUUUGACUGGGGCGGUCUCCUCCUAAAGAGUAACGGAGGAGCACGAAGGUUGGCUAAUCCUGGUCGGACAUCAGGAGGUUAGUGCAAUGGCAUAAGCCAGCUUGACUGCGAGCGUGACGGCGCGAGCAGGUGCGAAAGCAGGUCAUAGUGAUCCGGUGGUUCUGAAUGGAAGGGCCAUCGCUCAACGGAUAAAAGGUACUCCGGGGAUAACAGGCUGAUACCGCCCAAGAGUUCAUAUCGACGGCGGUGUUUGGCACCUCGAUGUCGGCUCAUCACAUCCUGGGGCUGAAGUAGGUCCCAAGGGUAUGGCUGUUCGCCAUUUAAAGUGGUACGCGAGCUGGGUUUAGAACGUCGUGAGACAGUUCGGUCCCUAUCUGCCGUGGGCGCUGGAGAACUGAGGGGGGCUGCUCCUAGUACGAGAGGACCGGAGUGGACGCAUCACUGGUGUUCGGGUUGUCAUGCCAA